rfam:Sorghum bicolor cultivar BTx623 chromosome 8, whole genome shotgun sequence.
GUUGUCAGAUUCACUUCAAUCCAUGUGUGUUGGUGUGGAUUGGGGUGAAAUUUAGUUCAAUUUCCACACCAAUCCACCUUAACACAUGUGAAUUGAUGUGAAUCCAACU